GACGAACGCUGGCGGCGUGCUUAACACAUGCAAGUCGAACGGUGAAGGUGGAGCUUGCUCCGCCGGAUCAGUGGCGAACGGGUGAGUAACGCGUGGGCAACCUGCCCCUCACUUCGGGAUAACUCCGGGAAACCGGGGCUAAUACCGGAUACGACCUCCUUGGGCAUCCUUGGAGGUGGAAAGUUUUUCGGUGAGGGAUGGGCCCGCGGCCUAUCAGCUUGUUGGUGAGGUAGUGGCUCACCAAGGCGACGACGGGUAGCCGGCCUGAGAGGGCGACCGGCCACACUGGGACUGAGACACGGCCCAGACUCCUACGGGAGGCAGCAGUGGGGAAUAUUGCGCAAUGGGCGAAAGCCUGACGCAGCAACGCCGCGUGCGGGAUGAAGGCCUUCGGGUUGUAAACCGCUUUCAGCAGGGAAGAAGCCGCAAGGUGACGGUACCUGCAGAAGAAGCACCGGCUAACUACGUGCCAGCAGCCGCAGUAA
rnacentral:rRNA from 1 species